GUAAAUCAAUGAAUAUCCUAAAUGAUCAUGCACACAUAAGAAUCGAGACAUGCAUAGACAACGAUUAGAGGGAAAAAUGGUACGUACCUGGGCAAUGAGCCACCAUGCACUAUCAAUGGAGAGGGUUAGUACACAAUUUAGGGAUGAUUGCAUGCAUGUCAGAGAGUAAGGUAAAUCAAUCAUGUAUGAUAAUCAAAGCAAACAAUCAAUCAAUCAAUCAUAAAGUCACCCAUGU
rnacentral:lncRNA from 1 species